rnacentral:rRNA from 1 species
AAUUGAAGAGUUUGAUCAUGGCUCAGAUUGAACGCUGGCGGCAGGCCUAACACAUGCAAGUCGAACGGUAACAGGAAGAAGCUUGCUUCUUUGCUGACGAGUGGCGGACGGGUGAGUAAUGUCUGGGAAACUGCCUGAUGGAGGGGGAUAACUACUGGAAACGGUAGCUAAUACCGCAUAACGUCGCAAGACCAAAGAGGGGGACCUUCGGGCCUCUUGCCAUCGGAUGUGCCCAGAUGGGAUUAGCUAGUAGGUGGGGUAACGGCUCACCUAGGCGACGAUCCCUAGCUGGUCUGAGAGGAUGACCAGCCACACUGGAACUGAGACACGGUCCAGACUCCUACGGGAGGCAGCAGUGGGGAAUAUUGCACAAUGGGCGCAAGCCUGAUGCAGCCAUGCCGCGUGUAUGAAGAAGGCCUUCGGGUUGUAAAGUACUUUCAGCGGGGAGGAAGGGAGUAAAGUUAAUACCUUU